AGUGGUUAAAAGAUAGAACAGUCUAGCCAAGUGCCAUGUCUCUUAUUCUUGAUCAGCUAUAGCUCUGGGGUUUUUGUAGAUUUUCAAAUAAAACUCAGAAAUUCCUUGUAUGAUUCUCUCAGGUCUCCCUUUUGUGGUAUUUUUGGAUCCUUACCAAGGCAUUGAUGGUAUAUGCCUUCUCUCAAGAUAUGUAGUAUUUGUGGUAUAAGGCAUAGUGACAUUGCCUUCUCUCUCACCCUACUCUAAUAAGGCUUUAAUAUCUGGAGCUCAUAGGUGGGAGAUAAAAUAUACAUACUUACAAGACAUUUAUUGCAUAGUCAAACCAUGGAUCCAAAGUAACAAGCCAAUAAGUUUAAUCAAGAUGUGCAUGGGUGGCGAAUGAAUGGUGUAUGGUGGUGAUGGUGAUAACAAUGGUGAAAACAAUGGUGGUGGAAGUCUAAUUCUACUUUGCUCUUUUGAGGGGAUACAUACCUUCCUUGCUAUUGAAACUUUAUGAGGAGAAUGAGAUGCUCUUCUUUUUUUUCAGGUGGGUAUCUUGCACCCCUAAUUCUACUGUCGGACACUUGUCCAUUUUUACCUCUCGUCUCACUUUUUCUUUUCUUUCGAGGUUCCGAGCACUUGCUCCUUUUUAUUUCCUCGUAUCUUUUUUUAGAGCACUCAUCUCUUGAGAUAAUAUAGCAAGUGGUAGUAACAAGAUAACUUGAGCAUUUAUUUCAUAAGGGGAAAACAGAAAUAUUUUUGGUUAUUCUCUUACGGAUUAGGAGUAGAAUAUUUUUGGGUGAUUCUGGAGAUGGAAUGGGUGGAUAUAUGUGGAUGGUACUUCUGGACUAGAAGUAGCAUAUAUGAGUGAACGUGCAAGUGAAUCUUGAUUUAACCACAUGACAAGCUCCUAAGUGUCUAUACAGCUUGACCACACUCAAUGCUCAUAAGCAGUAAAUAUUAAAUGUGUGGCUCAAAGUCUAGCAAGCAUGUAUAUAUGGCUGUGGUAGGAAUUUAAACUCUCAUCGUACAGGAACUCAUCAUGCAACAUUUUAAAGAUUUUCAAAGAUAAAAUUCUCCAGAAUUCUAGCAUCUCUAGGAACAGAUAAACAGCAGCUCAACCUUCCCAUAUCAUAUCCGUUAACAACUUAGACUUCAGAUCAAGUUUUCAUCCCACAAGUUUAGGUCUAGAGCAAGCUUUAAAUUAUAACAGUUAUAUCUAAACUUGAGAGAGAACAUAAAAUUUGCAAAUUAGGCAGAGCAACUAUUUAUCGUAUCCAUGCUUAAGUUUUAUUUAGAUACAGAUUAGCAUAGCCACUUUAUUUAUUUAUUAAACACACUAAGCAAAAGACAUAUAUAAGCAUAAAAUCUUUAUUUGGUUUUCCCAUAGUUUAUGUGUAUUUUAAUAUUCUAAAAUAAUAUAAGUAUAAAGAUAGAUAGAAAUACUUAUCGUGAUAAAUGGGGGUGCUCUCCCCCAAGCUGAAUUUUGACGUAAUUUCUCUUGGUGUAGCUAGCAGGUGGUAGAGGUGUAUUUGAAAGUCAGCAGCAUUGUGACAGCGAUUAGAAUAUCCUCCGUCUGCUAGUCUUCUUGAUUCUUAAAUUUCUGUGGAGCUCAAAUAGACAACAAAGCUUGUGGAACUGAUUAAGUGUUAGCAUAAAUAUCUAGCCUUUAUUAUCUUGAGACUCCUUAAUAAAUGUUACUCCCUGUUUUUAUAUUUUUGUUUUAUAAAGCAGAAAAAUAUUUAUUUUAUUUUAUGCCACCACAGUGAAUGUACUUAUGGGUUUUAUGCCACUCGUCUACUCACAUGGGGCUUAUAGUUUUUAACAUUUUUAUUUUCUUUUUAAGAUAGUGUGAAUAUGAUUAACUAAGUAAACUAUUUGAAAUAACUGAAAAGGAAAGGGUAACUACCAAGUUUACCUCUUGGCAAGGCGUUCGGUGUUUUUAAGUCCUCCGAACGGGACUCUCCAAUUUCUUAAUCGUCCUGAGGUUCGUUGGGUGGCGUAGUCGGUACUUCCGGCAGCGCCUCCUCUUCUUGUAUAGUUAUCUUCAUUUUCCAUACCUGACUCGGUGCUUCAAUCUCCUCUGGAUAAUUCUGUUUAAAUUCAACGUCUUCUGACCUUACAACUUCUCCUUCAUAGUCUGCCCAUCCGUCCUUGAUGAUCUGCCUCCUCUGGUUGCGGUUGCGUCUUUUUCUGACCUGCUUAGAUUCUUCAAUGAUAUAGUUAGGGUCAGUAAAAUAACGGCGUACCUUCUCUGAGGGGAAGUGCAUAUGGACUUCUCCGGUUCCAAUGUAGAUAAUUGCUUUCACGGUGCUGAGGAAUGGUCUUCCAAGGAUGAUGGGUGGAUCAUACUCGUCUUCUCCCAUGUCAACAACUUGAAAGUCUGUGUAGACAAAGUGAUCGUCUAUUUUGACUGGGACAUCAGAUACUAUUCCUUUAACUUCUCGAAAUGUCUGAUCUGCCAUCUGGAGCUGAAUGUAUGUUGGUCUUAGUGGCAUGGUCCCGAACAAGAGCCGAUAAGUGACUGCGGCCAUUAUGUUGACGCCUGAUCCGGUGUCGCAAAUCGUCUUGUAGAAGUUGUAUCCAUUUAUGGAGCAGUAAAUGCUUGGCAUUCCUGGGUCGUCCUUCUUGGUCAAAAACGGUGACUUAAGUUGGUGAUCUUGGCCUCCAUGGACUACAGUGACCAUCUUAGCUGACUCGGUCCACACUUGCUUGUUCCUGUUCCUCCUGUUGGUCCUCUUCCUUGAUUCACGUCUAGAUUGAUCUUGAAUUUGUGUAGUCUUGUUCUUGAAGAAAAAUGUCUCCUUCUUUCCUUUGACGUAGAAACUGAUCUUGGCAGCACUAGCGUAGAUGAUAGCUCCCGUGGUGUUCAAGAAUGGCCUCCCUAGGAUGAUAGGUGCUCUCUCAUCAUUUCCGGUCUCUACCACUACGAAGUCUGCUGGGGCAUACAAGGUACCAACUCGGACACAAUGGUUCCUCACUAUUCCUUUUGGGAAAGUUAUCGUCUGAUCUGCAAACUGCAAACACAUGGUUGUCUCUAAUAAAGGAUAUGUAAAGAAUUUCUCAUAGAGUACCCUGGGUAUAAUGUUGACACUGGAGCCAAAGUCACAGAGUGCUUCUGGGAUAUCCACCAUGCCGAUAGAGAUCGGGAUGACGGGGCGUCCUGGAUCGCCUCUCUUGACCGGCAGACGGUCAGUAGAAAAUUCAUUGACGGGGUUACUCCAAUUACCUGCAUCAAACAUGUCUACAAGAUUUGCAGAUUCUAAUCCUUCCGGUUGUGAUGGUAUACCGGGGUUAGUAGCAGGAACAGCAGCGGCUAUUUGAUUUAACUGAGAUUCAAUCAUUUUAUUAAAGCUAAUUUGAUUCUUGAUGGCAGUAGAGAAAUUAUCCAUUCUAUUAUUUAUAUUUUCUAGUAUUUUAUCAUUAGAUGCCAAUUUCUUAGAUAGGUUAUCCAUUAGCUUUCCUUGAUUAGACACUAACUCUCUCAAAGGUGAAAAAUUAUUAUUAUUGUUGUAAGAAUUGUUACCUUGAUAAUUACCUGAGUAGUUAGGCCUCUGUUGAUUCCAACCUUGAUUUUGUUGAGGACGGUUGUAGUAGUAGUAGUUGUUGUUGUUGAUGUAGUUCACAUCCUCAAGCAUCUCAGGGCAGUGAUUGCCUGAGUGUCCAGUGUCUCCACACUCCUCACAAGUCAUGUGAGAGUCGUAGAUGUGCAUAACUUCUUUCUUGUCUCCAGCUCUAUCGUCGAGCUUCUUCAUGAGGAGGUCUAGCUUUGCAGACAGCAUGUCUACCUCCUUCAGCUGAUGCAUACCUCCACCUCUCUUGCGUGUCUGGGUCCUCUCUUCAUUCCAACUUUGGUUGGACGCCAUCUUCUCCACAAGAGCUGUGGCUUGUGAUAUGGUAAGUGAUAAGAAUGCUCCUCCAGCUGCAGCAUCCAUGGUCUCUCGGGCACUGUUGCCGAGCCCAUGAUAAAAUGUCUGCAUCAAUAGCCAACUCUCCAUUCCAUGAUGGGGACAUUCUAGGAUGUAGUCUUGAAAGCGCUCCCAUGCUUCUGGAACAGAUUCAUCAUUUUGUUGCUGAAAACUUGUAAUCUUCCCACGGAGAGCAUUGGUCUUGCCCAUGGGAAAGAACUUAGCCAGGAAGUUUGUUGAGCAGAGUGCCCACGUAGUAUUCUUCUCCUUUGUAGCGUAGAACCACUGCUUCGCUCUUCCUAACAGUGAGAAUGGGAAGAGGCGAAGUAGUAUAGCGUCUUUGGAAACUCCUGCUAUGGUGAAUGUGUUGCAAAUCUCCAGGAAGUGUUGUAAAUGAGCACUAACAUCUUCGUAUGCCUUCCCACAGAACUGGUUGGAUUGCACCAUGUUGAUAAGUCCAGGCUUGAGCUCAAAGUUGCCAUCGAUCUAUGCAGCAGGUCCAGUGCGGAUGUUGUCCGUAGUGGGAGCUGAGAACUCGCGGAUCGAUUUGUUCGCCAUGGCUUCGAACUCUGAAGACAAGUUCCGGUGAUCUUCUUGAUUGGAUGAAGCUUCUUGCUGAAGUGUUGAUGAUUUCUUUAGCUUGGCUCUCGUCUUCUUGAAUAAUGCUUCGGGAUUGUCAAAAAAAUUUCCUGGAAGAUGUCUUCUAUUCAUACAUUCCCCUACAUAAGAUAAAAUAGAAAAAUAUCGGGGUAAAACUGUAUGAGAGAAUAGAUAAGCUCAAUCAUAUUAGUGAUGCGAAUGAUAACUCAAAAUCUUUUAUUCCAUUCCUGAUUAGUAAUCAACCUUCCCCGGCAACGGCGCCAAAAAUGCUUGUUGGGUAUUCUUAACAUCAUUACUAAAAGUAGACUAAGUUCUAAAUGUAGCAACGGUGCCAAAAAUGCCAAACCUAUCCCUCACACCACUUAAGCCAAGUUGUCAUCCCCAGCAUAACAUGAGAGACGGGGUAUUGAAAUAUGCAAUUGCUCUUCUAAAUAAAUAAUAAAUGGGAUCUGCAAGCGCACAGAUUAAUACCGGUGCAACAUUUUAACCGGGAAGUAUUCCAGGUAUCGUUAUUUAUAUUUUUACCACUGGGAAGGGAUUAACAAUCAUCAAUAUUGAUUACAGAAUAGAAUAUGAGAUUGAGCAUCUAUCAUUGCAUGUAUAAUUGAGAACAUUAUAUCUAACUCUUCAUACAGGGAUAAGUGUCACAUAAAAGAUAUAUGAAGUAAUAAUAGUGACAAGGAUAACUAAUCUGAUCUAGCCACAUAAUAAAUAUGAUAAGCACCUCAAUUAGAUACUCUAGAAAGUCAUUAGCAUGGUAUUAGAACGAACUACAAGAAUAUUCCCUAAGUUAUUCUCAACUAUAUAGUCUAGCAUUAUCAUAGUUAGUGCAAGCAUACUUAGCAAUCAUUGCGAGACAAGACUACGCCCAUGCAUAGUGAUAUUAGCAAGGAAUAUGAGAAACAUAGCAAUCACUCCCCUGUAAUAAUGUUGCUCUGCCAGCCCAAUACACGAGAGGGGGACUAUAUAAGAAUCAAUGAAGUUGUCACUAUCACGAACCACCCCACGAUCUGGCAUAUUGGGUACAAUCGCAGAUAAAUACGGUAUAAGCACCACGCCUACACAAUAUCUAUCAUUUACCCAUGGAUCCGAUGGAUAAACGCUAUACGAUCCUAAGCAUGUAUAUAGAUCGUAUCUAACUAAGCCAAGUACAUAACUAUGAUAAACUAAGAACAAUAUAAUCUUGAAUAUAAGCAAGUAGAGCAAAGUCAUAAGCAAUAUAUUGAAGUAGAACAAAGUCAUAUUCAUAAUAUUGAAGAACAAAGAUAAUUAGAAAGCAAUUAGAAGCACAAUUAGAGAAUUACCAAGAAUCCUCCUAACAGAUCCGGAAACCAAUCGAAGAUUGACUCCUUCUAGUUCUAAUCCUAUGUAGCUAUGCUAAUCUAGAUAUCUAAUUGAUGUGGUGGCUCUAAUCUUGAUCAGAGGCUUCUUCUCCCUUGAUGGAACAAUGAAUUAGGGUUCAGAGGCUCUCUCCUCCAGGGGCCAGGGGGUCUGGUUUUAUAGUCCCUUCAAGUGAAUAUGGGCCCUUGGAUCAAACCGACAUAGAUUGUAUGGUUUAGAUUCAUCCUUUAGGUCGGUGGAGAUCUCUUGCAAAGCAGAGUCCUGAUUGGACUCAGGGGCAGGGCGGGCACCCUGACCAACUGGGCGGCCGCCCAGGGUCUGGCCCCGUUUCGCCUCCGCUUCGGUCUCGUGGCUUCUGGAGUCUUCUAGAUGUAAGAUAAUUGCGCAGCACGUUAAUAUCUUUACGUAAUCCUGACAUGUGGGCCUUUCUUCCAUAUUUCCUGAUAACCCCCUGCAGAAAUAGACAAACACCAAAACUCGUGGAAUUCUGUCAGAUAAAACCCUAAGUCUAGAUCUUGAUUUCAUUUGGAUCCUUUUCUUUAUUUAUUUGAUAAAUAAAUUUGAUACUUAAGGACCGUCAACAGUAUGUUGGUUGAAUCGAGAUCUUUUGAGGUUUCGUCGGACUACUGGGUUUAUAUGGGUUCAAGUCCAUUAGCUUGACCGCUCUCAUGGUCGCUAAUUCACUUGAAUUCUUAUAAAUUGGACUGUUCUGUUACACAGAGCGUAAGUGCUCUACUUCUCUAAAUCAAUCUAAUCAAUCCUACAGAACUUGAAAGAAUUGGGAGUUGCUAUUCUAAUUCUCUGGUGGAGAGAGACGUCGGUGUUUUCCCCACGGGGGGUCACACCAACGAGUAAAUUUGUAUGCGUGCUCCCUUUCCCAGAUGGUGAUGCAAGAAGACACAAUGAUUUAUCCUGGUUCGGGCAAGAGAAGGCCCUACGUCCAGCGUGGGAGGGAAGUUUGUAUUAUCUUGCACCUAAGUGCUUGUACAGGGGCGAAUACAAGUGUGUAUGAACCGGGAUGGAGUAUGGAGACUUCUCUACGUGUGUGCGUGGUGAUCCGUAAUGUCUGUCUAUUCCUGGGUCUCCCCUUUUAUAGCUCCAAGGAGAGACCUAGGGCACAUGUAUAGGUGUCAGAGUAGGGGUCGAUAGAGGCAUGGCGCGCUGACCUACUCGAGGCCUCCGUACCAGCAUGGUCUCGAGCCGUCCCGUCUAGGUAGCUUGAUGAUGAUUACGCGUGCCCCUGUAUCCUGCUCUGCACGCCGUCUCGGGCUAGUUCACCGGUCGCACGCCUGUACGGUAUAGCGGCAGAUCCGGCGGAGUGGCUGCGGUGUUGUCAGUCAACGCCCAACUCUUCCCCAGGAAGGAAUCAUGCCUAGUCGAGGGUCAGGCGCCGUGCAGUGCCUUGUCGUCCAAAGCGUUGACCUUGGGUGUCUCGAGGGGGUCCCGAUUAGACGCUCCAUCCCUGCUUUUCGCGCCCUGGCACGCUCUGAGUCGUUUGGUGGGGAAAGCUGCAAAAAGGAUGAUGGGACGGGUGCCUGUUCCCUAUCACGCUUCCCGUGACCAGCGUGUUAGGUGGGAAAGCGACAGGCGCAUUAAAUGCCCUGGCUCUCGUGCGCGCGUCAGGCGGCGGACAGUGCCCUUGCGCUCGACGCCUACCGAUUCGCUCGAGCCCAUUUCCGUAUUCGACGGUAGUUAGCGCUCGACCCCUGAGUGGUUCGCUCGACGUCUUUUCCGUCUUCGAGGCUGCGGCCGUCGAUGACCGCACGACUUAUUAGAUCGUCGAGUUGAGGCCCUCGAUCUGUGCAUGGGUAAUCUCGUUAUGGGCAUCAGUUAGGGUACCCCUUACUGAUACCCUCGACAGUAGCCCCCGAGUCUCCAUUCGAGCGCUGGCGCUCGAGUGGAGGCUUUAUUUUGCGGUCGAAUUUCCGUGGGGACGCGCGAGCGACCCCGCGGGGGUAGCCCCCGAGCCCUUGGAGGAGUUUUUUGACUCCUUCGAGGGUUAAAUUGCCUAACUCUCAGAAACGCUAUCGACACCAGUGGUGGAAGGUCCUGAUUGAAUUGUUUUGUGCGGGGGUUUCAACGUACUCUCGAUAGAGCGAGCGUCUUCCACCCCAAAUUGAGUUCCUAGCGGGUAGUCCAAGUGAGAACCUGUGCCCCUUUCGAGGGGGUCAGCUGUAGCCCGGAGGCGUUCUCAUAAAGCAGGGUCGACGUGGUCGGGGAUACUGGUCUCAUUCGAUAGAGUCCAGCGGCUCGAUGCCUCCCGUCGGGGGGAUUCCUCUCGACUGUCUCGACCCUACCUUGGACAUCCCCAGCAAGUCUUCGAGGCGGGCCUCGAUCUUCGACCACUCAUUGGGGAUCCCUGACUCUGGUGCUCGAGAUCGGUUGUCGAACCCUUUCGGUGGGCCAGCCUGCGACCUCUUGAGGCUUUCACGGGUAUGCUCCUUGUCUUACAAGGGAAGGAAGAAGCCGUGGCGGUUUGCCUUUUUGCCCGUUGGGCGCGCCUUUUCAGGUGGAUGCCGUCACGACACUGUGUUGGCGUAGAAUUCGGAGCGCCUCGCUUGUGAGGAGGAAAGGGACCAUUAGACGGCGCAUUUAUGGGGGAGUUACCUCAUUCAUUGGAUCUAUCCGUUGGUCGUUCUUUCUUCCGCCCUCUUGCCUUUGUUCUCUUGCUGCCUGAGUUCCCUUGCCAUCUCACGCGCACCCCCUCGAGCGGUAGCGGAUCCGCCGUGCUUUCAGCCAAGAUGUAACACCCCAGUGUUAUGGUUGCAUUAAUCAUGUGCAUAGCAUGAGCAUCAUCAUCUACUCAAAGCACAUCAUGAUCAUCAUCUAUCUUGAGCCAUGUCAUUCUUUGCAAAAUGUGGUCUAAAUUGCUUAAAUAGGCUCCCUAGGCUUAUGUUUGAGUGAACCAUGCUUGUGUUUGUGCUCUAUGCCUUGGUAAUUAGUUUACUUAUGCUUAACUUAACUUUGGGAACAAUGUUCAUGUUGAUCACUUCUCCAAAAUAAUCACUUAAGUCAUACUUAUGUAAAUAGGCCCUAAAAACCUCAUUUGCUUAGGCUUUUAAAAAGUGUUUCAUAAAAUGUUUGCAUGUCAAAACUUCCUUUAGCAAAGUUGUAGAAAAUUUUAUAAGGAACAAAAGUUGUUUUAUGGCCAUCUCAUGAAAAUGAUCACAAAUAGCUCAAAACUGCCCCACAAGGCAAAUUUGGGGCUGUUUCCAACACUUAGGAAAUUUUCUAAGUCCGGGAGCGAAAACAGUUUGCUUGAUCGGUUUUGCAAACUCUAUAUCUCCCAAUCCAGGCUGAUCUGGCUUUUGCUCUAGUUGACAAUGUUGUAGAACUCGAUUGGAACUCCAACUUUGUCAACUGCAUCAUCUCCUAAUUCGUUUUGGUUUGGGAGAUAAUCAUUGUCAAAGUCGCUCUAUCAGUCGGUGAUCGCGAGGCUCGAUUCAGAGCUGAGCUCACCGGCGUGGAUGUCCCGAUCGACACCUGUCCGCCAGAUGUCGUCCAUAUGCCGGCGAUGGCCCUGCUCGUCAGCUCCCAGCGCGCGCAUGACGUCCACGGCGACGCCCCGGAUGCAGUGGACGCGUCCACUCUCGCCAUCCUCGCCCUCUCUCGCCAGAAGAGCGCCCGCAGAGAGAGAGCUGAGAGUUCUAGUCCUGUUAUGUUAUGACGAUGUUUUCCAUGGUGGUGCAUUUUGCGGAUGUCUAUAUCAUGUGUUGGAUUGGUGAUGUUGUUUUGUGGAAUUCAAUUAUUGUGCCUUUUCUGUAAAGCUAUUUUCUCGAAUACUUUCAGGCAUAUAUAUAAGUUCUUCUGCGGCAAAUCUUAACAUGCUCACUGACUAUGUCUUUACAGAUGUCUCGUGGCACCCGAGGUGCGGAACAGCGUGCAAACAUGAAUCCACCACCUCCUCCUCCACCAACAAAUCCCGCUGAGUUAAUGCAAAUGAUGGUGGACAAUCAGAGGAUGCUCACUGAGACCAUCAAUCGAAUGGCAAAUCAGGGUGGUCAUAAUGCACAUGAAGGGCCAGAUCCUAACCAGUACAGUAGUUUCAAGGACUUCAUGGAUACAAAGCCCCACCUUUCAGAGAAGCUGAAGAACCUCUUCAAGCUAAGGAAUGGCUGAACACGGUGGAACAAAAGUUCUGCUUGCUUCGGUUGACUGAAGGUUUGAAGGCGGAGUAUGCCGCUCAUCAACUGCAAGGUCCGGCAGGCAUCUGGUGGAAUCAGUAUCGGGAAGCUCUUCCAGCCGACACUGUGCUUGACUGGAAUCUUUUCCGUGAUGCUUUUAAAGGGCAUUUCAUUCCUCCUGGUGUCAUGGAGAUGAAGCAUACUGAAUUCAUGCAGUUAACCCAGGGUAACAAAACUUUGAAGGAGUAUUCACAUGCCUUCAAUCAUUUGUCUAGGUAUGCUCCUGAGUUUGUGAACACGGAGGCAAAGAAGAUUGCUAGUUUCAAGCGGGGUUUGGGCCCCAAGUUGCUGAAGACUAUGGGCCGCACUAAGUGUGCAACUUUCAAUGAGUUUGUCAGUGAUGCUCUCACUCAAGAGAACUAUAACACUGUGUACACUGCGACCAAGACUCGCAAGAGGGCUUUUGAGGCCGGGGCAGGGUCAUCUCAGUCCAAGACACCAGUGGCAGCUAAGCCACCGUUCCGUGCUCCAACGCCUAACCAGCGGUACCGCCCUCCAGUGAAGAAGAAUCAGACCAAGACGGGUUUUCGCAAGGGGUACUCCAUUGCACUUCCUAGGGGCAACACGGGUCCCAACUAUGCCAAGACUCCACCUGCCAACCGUCCGUGCUGGAACUGCAAUCAGACCGGGCAUUGGCAGAGCAACUGUCCUUACCCACCAAAGAAGGGCAACCAAGGGAACGUCCGUCAGGGGCAUCUUCACUACACAACCGUGGAGGCAAUCCCUGCUGGUGAGGUAGUCACAGCAGGUUAGUUUCUGGUCAAUCAAUGUGACGCACUUGUGCUUUUUGAUUCAGGAGCAUCACAUUCUUUUGUGAGUUCUGAAUUUGUGUCUAAGCAUAAUAUCAAGGCAAUUACACUUGAUAAGGGCAGUUAUUGUAUUAGUGCUGCGGGAAAUGAUAUUUCCACCAAUCAAGUGGUUUUGGGGGCAACUCUGGAAAUAGGAGGCCGUCAGUUUCUUGCUGAUUUGGUUGUUCUACCCGGCGUGGGCAUAGAUGUAAUUCUGAGGAUGAAGUGGAUGAGUGGCAAUGGAGUUCUUAUUGACACCACCACUCGUGUAGUGAUGUUGAAAGACCCAAAUACCAAGGAGGCAUUUCUAGUGCAACUCCCUCGUGAUAUUCAAAUCCGUAGCACUAUGAAUGCAGUUACAUCUAAGGCUAUUCAGGACAUUCCGGUGGUGUGUGAGUUCCCGGAUGUAUUUCCUGAUGAUUUACCCGAGCUUCCUCCAGAUCGGGAUGUGGAGUUCAAAAUUGAGUUGAUUCUAGGUACCGCUCCUAUCUCUAGAAGACCUUAUAGAAUGCCACCCAACGAAUUAGCUGAGCUUAAGACCCAACUAAAUGAGUUGUUGAAGAAGGGUCUUAUCCGUCCUAGUUCGUCUCCUUGGGGUUGUCCGGCUAUCUUUGUGAAGAAGAAGGAUCAAUCUUUGCGCAUGUGUGUGGACUAUCGUCCCUUAAAUGCGGUAACCAUCAAGAGCAAAUACCCUCUUCCUCACAUUGAUAUCUUGUUUGAUCAGUUGUCUAAAGCCAAGGUAUUCUCCAAGAUCGAUUUGCGAUCUGGGUAUCAUCAGAUCAAGAUCCGUCCUGAAGAUGUGCCUAAUACGGCUUUCUCGACGAGGUAUGGGUUGUAUGAGUAUCUCGUCAUGUCCUUCGGUCUUACAAAUGCACCUGCUCACUUCAUGUAUCUCAUGAAUUCGGUGUUCAUGCCCGAAUUGGACAAGUUUGUGGUGGUCUUCAUUGACGAUAUUCUAGUAUAUUCUUGCAAUGAAGAGGAGCAUGCAGAGCAUCUGCGUAUAGUGUUGUCGCGUUUGCGCGAACAUCAGCUUUAUGCCAAGUUUAGCAAAUGCGAGUUCUGGCUAAAGAAAGUACCUUUCUUGGACCAUGUCUUAUCUGAAGAAGGCAUAUCGGUGGACCCAGCCAAGGUGCACGAAGUGCUGGAUUGGAAAGUUCCAACUUCGGUACACGAGGUUCGGAGUUUUCUUGGUCUGGCAGGAUAUUAUCGUCGAUUCAAUCCCGAAUUCUCAAAAAUAUCCAAGCCUAUGACUCGGCUACUUCAGAAAGAUGAGAAGUUUGUGUGGACGCCUGAGUGUGAAGAGGCAUUCCAUAAGUUGCGGACAUUGCUGACAUCUGCCCCUGUCCUAGCCCAACCUGAUAUCGAAAAACCCUUCGAUGUCUUCUGCGACGCGUCGGGUAUUGGUUUAGGCUGUGUGUUGAUGCAAGAAGGACGCGUUAUCGCGUAUGCCUCACGCCAACUUCGGAAGCAUGAGGUCAAUUACCCUACUCAUGACUUAGAAUUGGCAGCAGUUGUUCAUGCCUUAAAAAUCUAGAGGCAUUAUUUGCUGGGAAAUCUGUGUAAUAUUUACACUGAUCAUAAGAGCCUCAAGUAUAUCUUCACUCAACCUGAACUGAACAUGCGGCAGCGAAGGUGGCUUGAGUUGAUUAAAGAUUAUAAUCUGCAAGUGCACUAUCAUUCGGGCAAGGCAAACGUGGUGGCGGAUGCCUUGAGUCAGAAAGCGCACUGUCACUCAAUCCAAGUGGAAGAUCCGUUGUUGUCACAUCUUAUGCAUCCACUUGUGCUCCACCAGAUUUCUCUGGAGAGUACUCUUCGCAAUCGAGUUAUCGAAUUGCAGCAGACAGAUGUAGGCAUCUAUCACAUAAAGAGAAAAAUGAAAGAAGAAGAAACCAAGCAUUUCCGAGUCGAUGAGAACGGAAUUCUUUGGUUCAAAGAUCGACUAGUGGUUCCAAAAGACCGUGAAUUACGAAAUCAGAUCUUGUCUGAAGCUCAUUCAUCCAAAUUGUCUAUCCAUCCUGGUAGUAGCAAGAUGUAUUAGGAUCUGAAACCUUUGUUUUGGUGGACAAAGAUGAAAAAGGAGAUUGCUGCUUUUGUCGCCCGUUGUGACAAUUGUUGUCGUGUGAAGGCUGUUCACAUGAAAGCUGGUUUGCUUCAACCCUUGUCAAUUCCUGGUUGGAAAUCGGAAGAAGUCAGCAUGGAUUUCAUCAGUGGACUCCUAACUUCUGUUAAGGGUUACGAUUCCAUCUAGGUGAUUGUAGAUCGUUUGACCAAGGUUGCUCGAUUUAUCCCAGUUCGAACUGACUAUCGUCCACAUCAAUAUGCAAAAUUGUAUUUCGAGCACAUUGUUCAUCAGUAUGGUGUGCCUCGAACAAUUAUAUCAGAUCAUGGACCACAGUUCACUGCUCGUUUUUGGGAAUGUUUGCAUGAGCAGAUUGGUACUCAUUUAGUCCGUAGCUCUGCUUAUCAUCCCCAAACUGCAGGUCAGACUGAACGGGUUAACCAAAUCCUAGAAGACAUGUUGAGGGCAUGUGCUCUCUCUUCAAAAGGUUCUUGGGUUAAGUGGUUGCCAUUAGCUGAGUUCUCCUACAACAAUAGUUAUCAGGAGAGUAUCAAGAUGGCUCCAUUUGAAGCCCUAUACGGUCGGAAGUGUCGAACCCCGUUGAAUUGGGUAGAGGCCGGAGAGCGAAGGUUUUAUGGCAUCGAUUUCGUGAACGAAGCGGAGCAGAAAGUCCGUACCAUCCAGCAACAUCUGGAAGCUGCUCAAGCUCGUCAGAAAAGUUAUGCCGACAAUAGAAGGAAGCCGAUUGAGUUUUCAGUUGGUGACCAUGUGUAUAUCAAGGUGUCUCCGAUGAAGGGUGUACAAAGGUUCGGAGUCAAGCGAAAGCUUGCACCUCGUUAUGUGGGACCUUAUCAGAUUCUCGAAAAGAAAGGAAAUGUGGCGUACAAAGUUCAACUUCCUGUUGCGCUUCGAGCCAUUUUCCCUGUCUUCCACGUAUCGCAAUUAAAGAAGUGCCUUCGUGUACCGGAGGAACGAGUGGAAGUUCGAGAUAUCAAGCUGAAGUCAGACUUGGUGUAUGAAGAAAAACCCAUAGCAAUUCUUGAUCGCAAGGAACGGGAGACUCGUAAUCGGGUGGUUAAGCUCUACAUGGUAUUGUGGAGCAACCACGGGGAGGAAGAUGCUACUUGGGAGACGGAGGAUUAUUUAAGAGAUGUUUACAGAACAUUCUUCGAAAAUCAGUAAGCUUUCAAAUCUCGGGACGAGAUUUCUGUAAGGGGGGAGGGCUGUAACACCCCAGUGUUAUGGUUGCAUUAAUCAUGAGCAUAGCAUGAGCAUCAUCAUCUACUCAAAGCACAUCAUGAUCAUCAUCUAUCUUGAGCCAUGUCAUUCUUUGCAAAAUGUGGUCUAAAUUGCUUAAAUAGGCUCCCUAGGCUUAUGUUUGAGUGAACCAUGCUUGUGUUUGUGCUCUAUGCCUUGGUAAUUAGUUUACUUAUGCUUAACAUAACUUUGGGAACAAUGUUCAUGUUGAUCACUUCUCCAAAAUAAUCACUUAAGUCAUACUUAUGUAAAUAGGCCCUAAAAACCUCUUUUGAUUAGGAUUUUAAAAAGUGUUUCAUAAAUUGUUUUCAUGUCAAAACUUCCUACAGCAAAGUUUUAGAAAAUUUUAUAAGGAACAAAAGUUGUUUUAUGGCCAUCUCAUGAAAAUGAGCACAAAUAGCUCAAAACUGCCCCACAAGGCAAAUUUGGGGCUGUUUCCAACACUUAGAAAAUUUUCUAAGUCUGGGAACACAAACAAUUUGCUCGAUCGAUUUUGAAAACUUCAUACCUCUCGAUCCAGGCCGAUCUGGCUUUUUCUCCAGUUGACAAAGUUGUAGAUCUCGGCUAGUACUCCAACUUUGUCAACUACACCAUCUCCUAACUCGCUCUGGUUUGGGAGCUAAUCGUCGACGAAGUUGCUCUAUCAGUCGGUGAUCGCGAGGCUCGAUUCAGAGCUGAGCUCGCCGGCGUGGAUGUCCCGAUCGACACCUGUCCGCCAGAUGUCGUCCGUACACCGGCGAUGGCCCCGCUCGUCAGCUCCCAGCGUCCGCACGACGUCCACGGCGACGCCCCGGACGCAGUGGACGCGUCCACUCUUACCAUCCUCGCCCUCUCUCGCCAGAAGAGCGCCCGCAGCGAGCUCACCGUCGCGAGCUCACUCCGGCGAGCUCGUGCGCACUCCUCGCUGCGUCUCAGCCCACCAAACUUCACCCAAAGCUCCGCCGUGAGCCGCUCUUCACUUUCCACCCUCUACCUCGCCGUUCUUCCCCCAACUCGGGUCGCCGUGACCUUCUUUUCCGGCGAACUCAAUGCCGAGCCCUGUAAAGCCGCUCGUCGUCUCUGGUUAGAUCCUAGAGGUUGCUUAGGUUCCUAGCUUGCGUUUGCGCCACUUGAUGGACGCUCUACCGAACUCUCCGUCGCCGGACACGAUGCGCAGCGCCGCCGUGUUUCCGCCGGAGAUGGGUGCUCUCGUGGCCAGCGUGUUCCACGAGGUUUCAAGCCAAGCCGCGUACCUAGGAAGCUUCGCCGUAGUUCGCUGGUGCUGUAGAAGGUCUUAGGUCACGCUCUACCGGCCUGAGGACUCCGGCGUAACGCCGAGCACCUCCGCCGAGCCACCAUCGUCGACGGUGAGCUCCUUCUGGUGGCUCCGCCGUAGGGAAAAGGGGAUCAAUCGAGUCGUUAGAGUCUGGGGAUCACGUUGGUGUCCUUGGUUUGGCCGGAGACCUCGCCGUCGCGGAGAAAUCGCCGGCGAGAGUCGCCUCGGCCGUGAGGGAGAAGAACCUGACAGAUGGGGUCCACUGUCAGUGUCACCUCCUUCCCUCCUUUUCUUUUAUUCAAAAUCUGGAUUUUUGGCUUUCUUGCAAAAAAAAUCAUAUCUCUAGUUCUGGUGAUCCAAAAAUUGUGAAACAAAUUUUGUGAUGUUCCUUGAGAUGGCUAGUUUUUAAUAAAAAUAUAAGAUGAACCAUGUUUUCUGGGAAAAUAUUUAUUAAUAUGAAUAACAAGAUUAAAUUAUUAAUAAAUAUUUUCUGGGAAAAUAUUUAUUAAUAAUUUAAUCUUGUUAUUCAUGGAUAAAUGCAUAUCUCUGGUUAUACUGCUUAGUUUCCUCUGAAAAUUUUAUGGUAGUCUCUGUGUGGUAUUAGAAUGCCUUGAUAAAUAUUUCAUGAUUUUUGGAUUAUUGCAGCUUUGAUAUGUAAUUUAUGUUUGAGAUGUGGCUUGCUUUCUUAUUUAAAUUAUAUAAAAUAAUUGGCACUUAUGCUGGUGCUCUACCUUGGUAGUAAACUUGUUUAUGGCAUUCAUAAUGUGUAAAUAAUCUGAAACCUGCUGUUUGGCACAUAUAAGUCAUGUUUCUGAAUUUAUAAAAUCAACACCUUGUCACAUGUUAAAUACAUAUCUUUAAUUUAGAAUAUGCUAUUGCUCUGAAAAUUUUAUGAUAAUGUCUUAAUGCUAUACUGGUGCUGCUGUAAUUUUUGUAGAUUUUUCUGAACACUUUGACUAGUAUCUUGUAAUUAUGCUCCUUUCUAGAGUUAAUUAAUAAAUGCCUUGUUAAAUAAAUGUUUGAGGGUUAUCAUCUGAUGUUCUGGUAACCUUGUGUUAUGCUUGUGCUCAUAAGCUAUGUGGUUGGCAUGGUUUAUGUCUUGGUUAUGUCAUCAAAUAAUUAAUUAAAGGGUUAAAGGCUGUUCUGGACAGCAAGGGAGUAAUUUAACUUUUGCUUAAUGAUAACUUGGUUUUCUGGGAAACUUGUCUAAGUCAACGUUGUUGUAAACUUAUUGAACUAGCUGUGGUUUAAAUUUGGGAUCAAUUGGUCCAGUAGUUUAAAAGUUAUGGCUGUUCCAAGUUGGGUUCCAGAAAUAGGUGUUCUCUGUUUUUCUGGGACAGAACCUGGAACUUUGUUUAAAUGACUUGUUAAUAUAUGAAUCUUGCUGUGAUAUUUAAAGAUGAUUUGUAGACAAUUUCAUAAGCUUUCCAGAAUGUCCUCACUUAAAUGUGUUGGAUCUUUGUGGUAAUAGUUAUGAUCUGUUUACUGAGCUCAUCCUGCUGUUUGAUGCUUGCUGUUAUAGGCUUUCAUGAUAGGUUUUGGGCUAAGUUAACUUGUUAACUUGUGUGAACUUGUUAUAACUAUUGCUCCGUAAAUGAGUGUCCAGUGGGUCACUUAUGUUAUCAAGCAUCCAUUCCUUUGCAUGCACACCCUCUCAUUCACCGAGCAUGCAAUAGGUGUAUCGGACGUGGCAGCCUCCUUCGAUCUGCAAGUGAAUCCCGAAGGCCAGGAGGGCAACCCGGAGGUGGAGGUCCAGCAAGUCGGACUCAAGGAGCCCGAAGAAGAGGUUGAGUGCCCAAGUCAUGAGCCAGCUUCGUUCGUGAAAGGCAAGCCCCGGAGCAUUCUAAGUCUCCCUUUUACUUUUGAAAGUUUAUCUGAUAUGUUAUAUCUAUUGAUGCAUUAAGUAUAGGAGUUGUGGUGAAACCUUUGCUGCAUUUUACUCCAUCCUUGUCCAGAUAAUUUACCCUACCUGGUUAUAGAGUUAAGGUCGAGUAGCAGCUUAGCCAUGCUUUAAUCGGUAGAAGUCGGGUGAUAUCCUGUCACCUGCGCGAUUUAGGGUUAUGUCGGUUUACGAUGGUCUAUAUGUGCUAUCGUGGAUGGAACCUGAUUAACUUGACUUAAGCCGGGCGGAGUUUUGCAAGGUUGUAGUAACUCCAUCUGUGGCAGCUAAGGACCGAUCGUUGUACGUCCUCUUGUCAUGUUGAAUGCAUGCCUAACACUUAGUUGGCCGGAUAACUCGUUCCGACCGCGAAGCCGAGUAGUAUGACUCAGGCCGGAAGACCGGCAAGUAUAAAGUGCGCACUACCGGAGGAAGUGCGGUGUGCGGGGGACCAUUGCUGUAAGCCCAAAGGCAGGUGAGUUAAAAUUCCUGACCUCCCUGGCAGAAUGGUAGCACUGGGAGUGCGGCGCUGAUCGGAGCCGCGAUUCCUGAGUUGUACCAAAGGUGACCCGUUAGCUCUCCGACCGGGGAUGCUUGGGUGAGUGCUAGGAAUAACCCUCCAGCUGGAUAGGAAUUCGAUUCGAAUCGCCGUCUCUCCCGGUCAGUGAGAACUUGACAGAGCAGCGGCAAACGUAGCAUUCACUAAUGAACUUGGUUCAUGAUAAUGACGAUAGCAAGGAAGAACAUAAGAUGAACUUGAUAUGGUUAUUAUUGCUUCUAUUAAUCAAGUGAAGUGUUUUAGUUCAGGUGCUAAUCUAAGUGGUAGGCUGAUGAUAAAUAAAUAAGAUGCUCUCACAAUGAGUUAGUCAUAAUAAAGGCUUUUGGCAAAAUGUCGAGUCAACCAGCUCUACUUUUACAUCUUGGCCUUUGCAUGAUCCUUGGUGUCUUUUAUGUUUACUAGACGGGUAAGUCUAGCUGAGUACAUUCUCGUACUCAGGGUUUAUUCCCACCUAUUGCAGAUGACAUCUUCUAUGACGGUUUCUGCAAGACCUGUCUCCAUCCAGCUGGGGAUGAGGACUAACCGUUGGGCACGGUUCUCUAACAAACUCGUACCUGUUGCUUUUGGAAGGAUGGUGUAGACUCUGGCAAUAACAAAAACUUGUGAACUGAACUUUGGAGCAAGUUGGUUUGAAGUCCUUCGUGAUUUCAAUUGACUACCGGGAUUAUAUGGGCUCAAGUUUGGAAACUUGAUUGCUUGUCGAUCGUUUCUUCACUUGAACUCUUAUAAUUUGGUCGGUUCUGUGACACAAGAUGCCUGUGAGACUCAUCGCCGCCGACGACUGGCGCCCGUCGUCGAUGACAGAGCGCCGAUUGCUAGAGCUUGAGAGAGAGAGACUCCUGCGCCGCCGCACCUCGCUAUCGUCUCCAGAGUGGAUCGCGCCACCGGCGGACCACAGGGAGCCCAGGCCGCCCAAGGGCUAUGUGGUUUCGUUCGCCAAGUUCCACCGCCACGGACUAGGCGCUCCCCCGAGUCGCUUCAUGUGGGCGCUCUGCCACCACUACGGGGUGGAGCUCCAGCACUUCUCCCCAAAUGCCAUCACCGUCGCAGCGGUCUUUGGCGCGGUGUGUAAGGGCUAUUUGGGGAUGAUGCCCCACUGGGAGCUGUGGCUCCACCUCUACAGAGGCGAGCUCUUCAACGCCCCCACUGGGACCACUGGCGUGAGGAAACCCGUUCGGGUGGGUUGCCUCAACCUCGUGCUGAAGACGGGGAAGACGGAGAGGCCGCGCGAGUACAUCCCGGUGGGAGUGUCGACAAACCACGCCGGCUGGGAUUCUCAGUGGUUUUACUUGAGAAACGACGAUGAUCUCCUGCUCGCCUACACCGGGCGUCUCAUCACGGAGCGUCCGGAGAAUUGGACGUACGGCGUCGUCCAAGUUCAUCAAUGUCGGCUCGACCCCCUCCUCGACGUCAUGAAGAAGCUGCGCUCGAAAGGCUUGACCGCCACUCUCGUCCUCUCGGCCGUCCAUCACCGGAGAGUUCUCCCAUUGAUGUCUCGACCGCUGAGGAUGGACGAGAUGGCCCCCGUUGCCUCAUCUCGGGACCUCGAGGCAUGCCGGAUGUCAAGCGAGGCUCCGGCGAACGACGAAGUCACGGCCCGGGUCAGGGCCGCCAUUGCUGGUGACUUUAAGCUGGAGCAUGUUAACGGCUUCCCCAUAAGGCCUGAUGCGGGCUAGAUUGAUCUGGUAUGUUCUCUCCUCGUGUACAGCUUUGAUUCUAGAUUUCUUUCUGCCCCCUUUUCUAAGUCUGCCUUUGUUCUGGCAGGGGCGGAUUGAUGUCCGGUCCUCGAGGCCCCCAGUAAAGGAGGACGAGGUUGAUCGUGACGCGCGGCGCCGGUCCGCCGAGAAGCAAAAGUCCACCAAGGAUUCUGCAAAGAAAGGAGAGAAAAAGAAGAACCUCGACCGCCAAGCAUUAGAUGCGCGUCGAGCUAAAUCCAGGCAGAGGGGGGAGCCUGAGGAAGAAUCCCCCAGCGACGAUGAUGGUGGAGAUGGUGUUGAGGACAGCGACGACUCCGAGGUGAUGGCGUCUCGCCUCGACCGGAUCCUUGAGGGUCCGCCCCGAGGCGACGUCGACGCCCCGCGGAUGGAAACGACAAAGGAGGGACCAGGUGGAUCUCACCGCCCUCGUGCCGACACCCCCCCUGUGCCUGCAACUGGUCAGGUCACCCCGCGCCCUCCCCCUGCGCCCAAGAUGGGUACCCAUGCUAGGCCCCAGGCAAUGGGGCCACUGGCUCGCGGUCGCGCCGUGGCCUCCGAAAAAGGAGAGACUGGCCGCAGGAGCACCACUCCCGGUGCCCGCCAAGCGGAAGUUGUUGGGCCAUGGCCUGCGCCUGUCCUCGAGGGGCCAGGGACCUUGACGCGGGGUGGCUCGAGGCCCACCGGUCGGGGCACCGGCAGGCGAGCUGUUCUCCCCGUGGGGUAAGCUCUUCGAUGCUGUGAUUUUCAUUCUCCUGAUUCUUCGCGUUUUCUCGUGUAAUGGUCUUCUUUAUGUCCGUCCCUCUCUUCUCAGGUUGAAGCGGACGCUCGAGCAAGCCCAGCCUUCGAUGGCGAAGAGGCUCAAGGUGGGAGCAGCCUCCAAGGAGCCAGGUCUGUAGCUUAUUCAUGGGACUUGUGUUGUUCUUACGCUGGUCGUCAUAGUGACUGGCCUUUGUUUUUUGUUUCACAGGCUCCUCCGACCCUCAGCUGCCGACCGGCAUCGAGAGCGCCCCACCUCAUCCCCCAGCGGGUGAUCCUGCCCCGUCGUCGCUGAAACAGGCCGAGGCGCCCCAGACCCAAGGGCAAGAGGGAGCCCUCGUGCCUCCCCGAUCGGGGGUCAAGGGGGAUCCCAUUACCAUCAGUGAUGGGUCUGGUGGCGACGAGACGUCGAGGGGUGCCCGUCCUAUGGAUGAGGAGGUCUCGACUUCUCUUGUCGCGGGACGGAUGCGUUGGCCUGCCGGUCUUCGCUCCCUCGAGGAGUAGAGGAAGAAGGAGGAGGAGGAGGAGCAAGAGGCAAGACAUCAACUGCAGGAGCAGGAGACGCAAUGGCAGCUGCAGGAGCAGAGACGCCAUGAAGAGUCGCAGGAGCUCGAGGGGCAGCAGCAGCAGCGACAGGGGGGCCAAGAAGAAGGACCGCUCGAGCCCCCACCUCAAAGUCCGCCCCAACCAGUACCACCGGCGCCGCAAGAGCCCGGAGAGCAGGAAGAGGAUUUGCCAGUUUUCGGCCCUCCAACCCCAGCGUGGCUCCUUCUAGGGGCGCCCGCCGCGAUCCCGGCAGAGUCGGGGCGAGCGGACGGUGUGGUGGCGCUUGCCUGCAUGAUGCGCACCCCCGUCGACCCCGAGUCCGAGAUUAGGAGGACGAUCUACGGCAUGGACGGAAUCGCCCCAGGGUUCCUCCGGGAGCGUCGGGCGUGGGAGGACCGUAUUCCCCCUGAGGAGGACGAGAUCGGGACGUCGGGGAGUAAAGACGGCACCUGGAAGACGGUGGACGACGACGGUCGGUUCCCAUGCCUCGUCGACUUGUUCUUGCGCCAUGGGGGCUCCCUUGAGACCGUCGAGAACCUUAUCCGCGGCGUCAAGGCGCGGGCUGACCAGGAGAUGGAGAACUGGUGCCCCGAUCGGAUUCGUAUCCGGGCUUCCACCGAUCCGUCCGAGCCCAACAUCUUCCUCGAUGAUCAUAAGGAGGCCGAGAAGUGGGAACACGUCGAGGAGCUCCGCCUUUGGAUGAAGCACGUGGUGGGGCUCCUGUCGGACAUCAUCAAUAACGGGCUCGGGCCGGGUUACUUUGUAAGUGUUUUUCGAUCUUUAAUCCUCAUGGAGCAUUUUGGUUUUAUAUUCUAACUGUUCGACCACCGGCUCGCAGGAUAUGAAAGAGACCUCCCGUAUCAAAUCGAGCUUCAUUCAUGCCACGAGGGGUGGCUGGGAGCAGCUCCCCCUCCUCAAGGACCAGCUCCUCGAGUCGCAAGAGAAACUCCUUAAGGCUUAUAAAGAUCUCAUAGCGCUCGAGGAGGAGAAGACGGUGAGGGAGGCUGCCCUGGUCGAGGCUCGAGAGGCCUCAAAGAAGGCUGAGGAAGAGGCUGUGCUGCUAAGGGAGCGGGCUCUGACAGUCGAGGAGGCUGCGUCCAAAGCCCGCGAGGAGGCCCUGUCCUACAAGAACGUCAUUGCUGACUUGGACAAGGAGAAGGGCCUUCUCAAGACCGACCUGGACUCCCUCCGAGACUCUUUUCAAAGGAUGAAGGUGGAGCACGUGAACGGCGAGAUCGCUAGGAGCGCCGCGGAGGAGACCAAGAAGAAGGCCCUCGAAGACCUCGAGGCGGAGCGGGCUCGAUCCCGCAGGCUCUCUGACGACAUCGAACGUCUGAAGGGAGAGCUGUUGGAGAAGAGUGGGGCCAUUGCUCAGGCUGGCAAGGCGAUCGAGGAUCUCCACGUUGCCAACACUGAGCUGGCACGCUCCAACAAAGAGAUUGAGAGGGCCAACACCAGAUUAGCCGGCGAGAACACGGCCUUGGAGGAGAGUGUCUGCGGUACGUUUCUAUUGCCGGAUUUCCUUUUCGAGGUGUGCUUGGUUUUUUCUAAAGUUUUUUGCGUUGGCAUCCACAGGGCUUAAGGACGAACUCUUGGCCGCCCAAGUCGAGGCCCGCAAUGCUAAGGCCCAGCUCGAGGCGGAGGUUGCUUUGAAUCGUCGAGUACGGACGGCGAUAAGCGAUCUCUCGACCUCUUGGGAGAUUGAGCCCAUGGACGAGUCGAAGGAGGACGCUCGAGGCGACGCACUGGUCGACCAGCUGUGCUACUUAGGCGCGACGCUGAGAGAUCGGGUGCGGGAUGCCCUCCACAUCGGGGUGAAGCGGGCAAUGGCGGUUGUCUGCUCAGGCUUCUCCUAUGACAUAGAGGUAGUGUCCCAUGGCUUCGUCACCGACAUCUCCAAGACCGACGCGGAGAACGAAGAGAGGCACCACGCCUUGAUCGACGACGCGGAGGUUCCUGGGGAGAGGCUGGCCAAGCUAUUUGAGCCUGAGGUGCUCCCCCCUGAGACUAGCUCGGGCGCAGGCGACGGUGGUGAGGACCGUGCCGUGGACUAAGGCCUGCGAGCCUGCUCGAGGUGUCUAGGGCCCCUUGUAUAGUAUUUUGUUAAUCCUGUUUUCAAGUGAUACAGUGUCUUUAAGUGGUUGUUAUAUGUUUGUUUAUCUUUUCUCUCGAGGCUUCUUUUCGUGCCUAUGUUUGUUUUUUCUCACUUGGUCUUUCGUUCGAGGCGGUCUCGAUUGCCUCAAGGGCGAGGAGGCGAGUAGAGUUUCCAUAGCCCGGGGGCGUAGGAGUUCUCAGGCUCGUCGUUUCUCGCCCCUUAAGGGGCUCGAGGUACCUUUACUACUCAACCGUGUGAGAUUACCAAUAGGAAAGAAAGGAUUGCUAGAUUUUUUCGACACUUGGGGGGGUCGCCCCCCUUGCUAGCCCCCGAGGGAGUGUCGACUAUGAUGGGUCGUAGUCGAUAUUCCCUUCUAUCGUUGAGACUUGUGGAAAAGUAAAUCGCUCGAGGGAAAGACUUCAUUUAUUCGUACAUUCAUUUACAAGGCCUUGGUACAAAGCGUACGUAUGAAAUUAAAGCUUUGAAAUUCUAGGGGUAGAAUCGACGUAGCUGUUCGAUGUUCCAUGCGUUGGUGAAGAUCGCCCCCUUUUCGUCCGCUAACUUGUAUGUUCCUGGCUUCAAGACCUCGGCCACCAUGUACGGGCCUUCCCAAGGCGGAGUCAACUUGUGGCGUCCUUGAUUGCUUUGCCGUCGUCGCAGGACAAGGUCACCCACGUUUAAGUCCCUCCUGCACACGUGCUUGUCGUGGUAGCGUCGAAGCUUCUGCUGGUAUCUAGCAGAGUUGUUGAGGGCCAUGUCUCGAGCUUCUUCGAGUUGGUCGACCGCGUUUUCUUGAGAUUCUUUAUUUGAUUGCUCGUUGUACGCUUUGAGUCGAGGGGACCCAUACUCGAGGUCUGUGGGGAGGACAGCCUCAGAGCCGUAGACCAUGAAGAAUGGGGUGUAUUUCGUGGCCCUGCUUGGUGUCGUCCUUAGGCUCCAUAGGACCGAGGAAAGCUCCUCGACCCACUUCUUGCCGAAUUUCUUCAAGCGAUUGUAGAUCCUCGGUUUGAGCCCCUGCAAAAUCAUGCCGUUGGCACGCUCGACCUGGCCGUUAGUUUGAGGAUGGGCCACUGCAGACUAGUUCACACGGAUGUGAUGCUGAUCGCAGAAGUCGAAGAACUUUUUGCCCGUGAACUGAGUGCCGUUGUCGGUGAUGAUGACGUUGGGGAUCCCGAAUCGGUGGAUGAUGUCGUUGAAGAAAAGGACGGCUUGUUCGGAGCGGAUGUUGGUGAUGGGUCGAGCCUCGAUCCACUUGGAGAACUUGUCGAUAGCCACCAGCAAGUGGGUUGUUGACGGUCCUUAAUGCUCACAUUUAACCAUCAAUUAAUCAUGGAAAAGGAUCCAAAUGCAACCAACACCCAGACUUAGGGUUUUAUCUGACAGAAUUCCACGAGUUUUGGUGUUUGUCUAUUUCUGCAGGGGGUUAUCAGGAAAUACGGAAGAAAGGCCCACACAUCGGGAUUACAUAGAGAUAUUAACGUGCCGCGCAAUUUUCUAUCAUCUAGAAGACUCCAGAAGCCAUGGGAACGAACGGGAGGCCGAGCGGGCCCGGAGGCAGGGCGCCCGCCCUACCCCCCUGGGCGCCCGCCCUCCUCUGCUGGCCAAUCAGCACGAGUCUCGGGGAUUAUGCUCCACCGACUCUAAGGAUCGAGGAAAAUCACACGAUGAAGGUCGGUUUGAUCGGAUGGUGGAGAAUAACGUGGAAAUUCCUUGGGAGCUACUCUUCCUGGACUAUAUAAGCAGACCCCCACCAGCCCCUGGAGGCAUACCUCUUCUACAGAAUCAAAGUUAGGGUUUCAAUUCUUCAUCCAAGUAGAGAGGAUCCCUCUAGUUCUUCUAGUUCUACCUCUAGUUCAUCUAGAUCUAGUUCUAGUUCAUCUAGUUCUAGUUCUAGUUCCUCUAGUUCUAGUUCUAGUUAGUUCUAGUUGUAAUCUAGAAAAUAGGGAGAGAGAAGAGGAGAGCGGAGGAGGAGCCGGAUCUGUCGGAUCUUCCUCAACAUUAUACUUUUGCAGUAUCUGGUUCGUUCUUCAUCGUUCUCCAGGUUCUUCAAUUCAUAACUACUGAGUUCUCUAAUUACUUUUAUUUACAUUCAAGUUAUUUAUUGGAUUCCCGCUUGCAUCAAGUGCUCUAGUCUUUAUAACGCUAGAGUAGUAAUUAAUAGAUUAGACGUGGUGUUUAGUCUUGCGAUUACCUGGAAUUGCACCCAAUCCUACGGAUUGUUGUGGUAGCCCUAGGGUAGUGACAGCCCUAACGGUCGACGUAUUCCACCACGUUCGGAUCGGUGUUUGUAGGACCGUAGUCAGACCUUCCUAGCCCCCUUCUCAUCUCUUUCUGUGCUUAGUGCUCUGAUGUCCCGAUAUAGAUAAUCUUGAAGUAAUUCUUGAUUCUUAGAUCAACUAGAGAACUCUCAGGAAACUUCCUCUCUUCCCACCAAAAAUAAUUAUAUAGUUAUCCUUGGGCGAUCUUGGAUCUUAAUUAGUACACUCACGUUCUCUGUGGAAAAUCGAUACUCUGGAAUACUCCCGGGUGAAAGCUACUUCGGUAUCCGUGCGCUUGCGGAUUUUUCUGUUUGUGUUUAAAAUACCCAACAAGCUUUCUGGCGCCGUUGCCGGGGAACGGUAGCUGUGCUAGUUUCGAACCAAGUCGUCCGUGUAUCCUUUUUCUUUUCUUUUUUACCACACUCACCUUAUCAUUUUCACCAUACCACAUGGAUUUCACUCUAAGCACUAAGGAGCAUGGAAUUUAUUUCAUAGCCACUUCAUUUACUCCAUGCUCAUAUGCAACAUCUUCACAAUCCAUUGGUCUCUCCAACAUCACCACAUUCGAGAUCUAUAACCCCCUCUUCCUUGCUAUUUAUAAAAACUUUAAAAGGGCGGUUGUCGAUGCAUAUGUCUAUAAUAAAUUUUGCAGAUCUCGUUGAGUUGAUCUUGAUAUAAGUCAGCGUUGGAGGGGAAACCACUUCACUGACAUAAAUUGAUGGUUUCCCAAGGACAAGCUUAGUGUCCUAAAACAAGCAUUGAUCAGAUUGUAACAAGAGCUUUUAAUUAUUUGCAACAUUAUCUUGUGUAUUGAGCAUGUAAGGAUAAUUGUAAAAAUAUUCCUUCGGGUAUUCUUGUCACUAACCUUUCUAGAAUUGGAGCAAGAAGAUCGGAUGAAUGACAAGCACAAGGUAUGUACAACCAAUCAUCGUACAACAUUGAAUUAAAUUCAUCCAAACUUGAAUUUUGCAAAAUUCAAGCUUGGGGGAGUACUUUAUAUAAAAAACAUCAUUUGCCAAGUUGCUAUGUUGGUUGUCCCUACCUUUGAGACAUGCUCAAUUUGUUAAAUACUAAUCACACUACUUCAUCUCCAUUUGAGUAGAUCUCUAUAAAUGCUCUCAUGCUACCUUUAUUUGCUUUAGUAUAUGUCUAGGUUUGGAGUAGUUGCAUUUAUCUCUUAAUUAAGCAUGGUGCUUAGUUUAGGGCUGAUGAUCUUACUUCCAAGGGAGUUUAAAUUAAGCAUGAUGCUUAGGUUAAAAUGCCGUCCUAAAUCAAAUUAGACAUGGUGUCUAGGUUGAUCUUUGAGCCGAUAGUAUGCUAUAGUAGAUAUUGGAUAUUUUGUUGGACUAACCCCUGCAGGAAAACUUUCAAUAUCGACCUGGGAAGUCCUGAGAUAAACUCACAUUGGAGACAAUGAGAGAGACACAUGAAGUUUAACAAUUUACACAAGGAAGACAUAGCUCACAAGAGAUGAUCCAUGGAGGGUGCCACAAACACGAUGCACAACCGCUAAGAGAGGAAAGCUUCCACAAGGUGAUAGGUAACAUCUUAAAGUACUUGACUAUCACUUCUAUAAGCUUCUCCUUUGUUCUGGCGUUCACUUGAAUAAAAGAGACAAACAUGUAUGAUCUACAACUCUAGAUUAACCAACCCAAUCGAUUCAAUAUGUUUAGUCCUUCCACCUUUGUGAUCCCAUACUCCUAAUCACAUAACCUAAAAUGUUGCACACUCAAUCUUUGGAAGAUAUACAUAUAUAGAAAACAUAAGUAUAGAUAGAAUAUCUUUCCAUUAGGAUGAGCGAUCUGAUCUGACAAAUGUUUAAAUGCUACACUCAUGAUCUUAUUAUCCAUCAACUUUGUCUUGCUCACUAUGCUUAAGGUUAGAGAGAACAAAUACACUUUUGGUUCUCUUAGUGUUUUCCACCAACAGGGCCCAUGCACUUGAUCUCUGCCUUGUCUCUAUGAGUAGGUACACUUCGAGCAAAAUAUGAAGGAGUUUUACAACUCCCAGACUCCACCAAGUGAAGAACCUGAAUCUACGAGCACAAACACACUGGAGAUACUGGACACUCAGGCAAUCACUACCCUGAGAUGCUUGAGGACGUAACUACUGGAGUAACCCCAUUGUGGAAGUAAUUACUGACCUUCUGCCAGUCAAGAGAGGCGAUCCAGGACGCCCCGUCAUCCCGAUCUCCAUCGGCAUGGUGGACUUCCAAGAAGCACUCUACGACUUUGGCUCCAGCGUUAACAUUAUGCCCAGGGUACUCUAUGAAAAAUUCUUUACACAUCCUUUCCUAGAAACAACCAUGUGUUUGCAGCUUGCAGAUCAGACACUAAGUUUCCCAAAGGGAAUAUUGAAGAACCUCUACGUCCGAGUUGGUACCUUAUACGCUCCAGCAGACUUCGUGGUGAUAGAGACUGAUACUAAUGAGAGGGCACCCAUCAUCCUAGGGAGGCCAUUCCUGAACACCUCAGGAGCUGUCAUCUACGCUAGUGCUGCCAAGAUCAGUUUCUACAUCAAGGGGAAGAAGGAGACGUUUUCCUUCAAGAACAAGACUACACAAAUCCCAGAGCAAUCCCGACAUGAACCAAGGAAGAGGACCAACAGGAGGAACAGGAACAAGCAAAUGUGUACCGAGUCAGCUCAGAUGGUCACUGCAGCUCAAGGAGGUCAAGAUCGUCAACUCAAGUCACCUUUCUUGAUCAAGAAGGACGACCCUGGUGUUCCAAGCAUCGAGUGCACAAUCAACGGAUAUUCUUUUCAGAAGACACUCUACGACACCGGAUCUAACAUCAACAUAAUGGCCGCAGUCACUUAUCAGCUCCUGCAUGGAACCAUGUCCCUACAACCAACAUACAUUCAGCUCCAGAUGAUUUUAAGGUUAUUGACAUGGGAGAAGACAAGUACGAUCCACCCAUCAUCCUUGGAAGACCGUUCCUCAGCACCGUUAAAACAAGAAUCUACAUUGGAACCGGAGAAGUCCACAUGCACUUCCCCUCUGAGAAGGUAUGCCACUAUUUUACUGACCUUAACUAUAUAGUUGAAGACUCUAAGUAGGUGAGGACAAGAAGACAACGACGCAACCGUAACCAGAGGAGGCAAAUCAUCAACGACGGAUGGGCAGACUACGAAGGAGAAGUGGUAAUAUCUGAAGACAUACAACUUGAACAGAACUGUCCUGAGGAGACCGUAGCACCGAGUCAGGUGUGUAGAGAAAAGAUAGUUAUACAUGAAGAGCAGGCGCCGCCGGAACCACCGACUACGCCAUCCAGCAAAUCCCAGGACGACUGAGAAAACGGAGAGUCCCGUUUGGAGGACUUAAAAACACCAAACGCCUUGCCAAGAGGUAAACAUGGUAGUUAUCUUUUUCCUUUCAAUUAUUUAAAAUAGUUUGCUUAGUUAAUCAGGUUCAUAUCAUCUUAAAAAGAAAAUAAAAAUGUUAAAAAUAGUAAGUCCCAUGUGAGUAUGCUCAUGGCAUAAAACCCAUAUGUACAUUCACUGUGGUGGCAUAAAAAUAAAAUAAAUAUAUUCCUGUCCUAUAAAAAUAAAAUUAUAAAAAUAAAAUUAUGAUCCUACUAAUGAGUAACAUUUAUUGAGGAGGCUCAACAUGAUAAAGGCUAGAUAUUUAUGCUAACACUUAACUAGUUCCACAAAGCUUUGUUGUCUAUUUGAGCUCCACAGAAUUCAAGGAUCAAAGAAGACUAGCAGACGAAGGACAUCCUAAUCGUUGUCAGAGUGCUACCGACAUUCAAAUACACCUCCGCCACCUGCUAGCUACAUCAGAAGAAAUUAUGUCAAAAUCCAGCUUGGGGGAGAGCACCCCCAUUUAUCCAGCUAAGUGUUCUACUCACGUUUAUACUUUACUCAAAUAAUAAAAAGAUGCAUAAUCAUAAAAACCCAAAUAAAGAUUUUAUGCUUAUAUAUAUAUCUUUGCUUAGUUUGUUAAAUAAAAAAAUAAAUCAAGAUAAGUAUUAUUUUUCUUUCUUAGUUUUAUUUACUAGUAUUCGGAAAUAAAAAAAUGCAUAACCAUGAAACCAAACACAGUUUUUGUUUUGAGUAAUAUAUAAUAGUUUUAUGUAAUACUAAGUUUUAAAUAAAAUAAAAAGAAAGUUUGAUUCAAGUCUAGGUAAUUGACAAACAUGAUAUGAGAAGGUCUGAGCUACUAUUUAACUUGUUCCAAGUUUUGCUAGAGUUCUGGAGAUUUUAUCUUUUGAAAAUCUAAAAAUUCAUAAAAAAUAUAUAUGAGAUCAUAAUACCUAGAGUCUUAUAAGAAAUAAAUAUUAAAACUGUGGGUACUUUCUUUGUUCAAGCCAUUGUUAAUUCUUGUAGUUUUGGUUGAGAGAAUUAUCAUGCUCCCAAGAUCAAGAUCUUUUUGUUUUAAAAAUAUAAAAGAUUCACUCUUCCGAAGUAUUAUUGCGUUAGAAGCAUGGGACUAUGCAAAAAUUUGAUUCAAAAAAAAAGAGUGAGAUGAGAGGUAAAAAUGGACAAGUGUCCGAAGUAGAAUUAGGGGUACAAAGAUACCCACCUGAGUGGAAAAAAAUGGACAUGUGUCUGACAGUAGAAUUAGGGGUACUUGCUGCCCACUUGAAAAAAAAGAGACCAAAAAAAAGAAAAAAAAAGGAAAAAAAAAUGAUAGCCCAUGGUCCCUCUAAUAAGCAAUAUGCCAGUAAGAGAUGACAAACUCUUCAAAAAGGUCAAAGGUCUUGAUCUAGGAGUAUGACAUUCCUCUCCCUUGCUCCGAGCAUUGACAUAGGAAAAUAAGUAUGCUAAAAUUUUUAAAGCUCUACUUAUAUAUCUUUCGAGAAGAAGGCAAAUGCCUCAGAUUUAUUUUGGAAACUUACAAACAACUCCAGAACAAAGGUAAGACAGAAGAACUUGAGACAUAGUGCUUGACUUGAUCAUUCUGUUUUUCAAUCACUUAAGACCUUAGUGAUAACUUAAAACCCCUUUAGUAAAAGGCAUAAAAGUAACCCCUGUUUUCUUGAUGAUUUUAGCUUUGCUCAGGGACGAGCAAAGGUUAAGCUUGGGGGAGCUUGUUGACGGUCCUUAAUGCUCACAUUUAACCAUCAAUUAAUCAUGGAAAAGGAUCCAAAUGCAACCAACACCCAGACUUAGGGUUUUAUCUGACAGAAUUCCACGAGUUUUGGUGUUUGUCUAUUUCUGCAGGGGGUUAUCAGGAAAUACGGAAGAAAGGCCCACACAUCGGGAUUACAUAGAGAUAUUAACGUGCCGCGCAAUUUUCUAUCAUCUAGAAGACUCCAGAAGCCACGGGAACGAACGGGAGGCCGAGCGGGCCCGGAGGUAGGGCGCCCGCCCUACCCCCCUGGGCGCCCGCCCUCCUCUGCUGGCCAAUCAGCACGAGUCUCGGGGAUUAUGCUCCACCGACUCUAAGGAUCGCGGAAAAUCACACGAUGAAGGUCGGUUUGAUCGGAUGGUGGAGAAUAACGUGGAAAUUCCUUGGGAGCUACUCUUCCUAGAUUUCUUGGGGGCUACUCUUCCUGGACUAUAUAAGCAGACCCCCACCAGCCCCUGGAGGCAUACCUCUUCUACAGAAUCAAAGUUAGGGUUUCAAUUCUUCAUCCAAGUAGAGAGGAUCCCUCUAGUUCUUCUAGUUCUACCUCUAGUUCAUCUAGAUCUAGUUCUAGUUCAUCUAGUUCUAGUUCUAGUUCCUCUAGUUCUAGUUCUAGUUAGUUCUAGUUGUAAUCUAGAAAAUAGGGAGAGAGAAGAGGAGAGUGGAGGAGGAGCCGGAUCUGUCGGAUCUUCCUCAACAUUAUACUUUUGCAGUAUCUGGUUCGUUCUUCAUCGUUCUCCAGGUUCUUCAAUUCAUAACUACUGAGUUCUCUAAUUACUUUUAUUUACAUUCAAGUUAUUUAUUGGAUUCCCGCUUGCAUCAAGUGCUCUAGUCUUUAUAACGCUAGAGUAGUAAUUAAUAGAUUAGACGUGGUGUUUAGUCUUGCGAUUACCUGGAAUUGCACCCAAUCCUACGGAUUGUUGUGGUAGCCCUAGGGUAGUGACAGCCCUAACGGUCGACGUAUUCCACCACGUUCGGAUCGGUGUUUGUAGGACCGUAGUCAGACCUUCCUAGCCCCCUUCUCAUCUCUUUCUGUGGUUAGUGCUCUGAUGUCCCGAUAUAGAUAAUCUUGAAGUAAUUCUUGAUUCUUAGAUCAACUAGAGAACUCUCAGGAAACUUCCUCUCUUCCCACCAAAAAUAAUUAUAUAGUUAUCCUUGGGCGAUCUUGGAUCUUAAUUAGUACACUCACGUUCUCUGUGGAAAAUCGAUACUCUGGAAUACUCCCUGGUGAAAGCUACAUCGGUAUCCGUGCGCUUGCGGAUUUUUCUGUUUGCGUUUAAAAUACCCAACAUGGGUGUACCCUCCUUUUGCCUUUUGUAGAGGCCCUACUAAGUCGAGACCCCAUACUGCGAAUGGCCAUGUGAUGGGGAUCAUCUGAAGAGCGUGGGCAGGCAAAUGCGUCUGUUUGGCGUAGAACUGGCACCUGUGGCAUGAGCGUACGAGCUCGAUGGCAUCGGCUACGGCCGUUGGCCAGUAGAAGCCUUGUCGGAAGGCGUUUCCUACGAGGGUCCGUGGAGCAGCAUGGUGGCCACAAGCCCCCGAGUGUAGGUCCUCGAGGAGUUUCCGGCCUUCUUCCACGGUGAUGCAACGCUGCAAGACCCCCGUCGGGCUUCGUCGAUAUAGCUCAUUGUCCUCGCCAUAGAUCACAUACGACUUGGCCCGUCGAGCGAUACGGCGGGCCUCGGAUCGAUCUUCUCGAGGACCUACCCCGCUGCGUAGUUUGCGACUAUGUCCAUCAGCUCAUCGACGGUCUGAGGGCGAUUCCGGCCCAAUUCUCGUACCAGGUCUCGACUGGUGGUACCAGAGACAAAGGCUAGGAUGACAUCGUGGUCAGGGAUAUGUGGCAGCUCGGUGCGCUGCUUCGAGAAGCAUCGAGCAUACUCUUGAAGAGUUUCUCCUGACUUCUGCUUGCACUUGCUGAGGUCCCACGAGUUCCCGGGCCGUAUGUAGGUCCCUUUGAAAUUACCCUCGAAGACUCUAACUAAAUCAACCCAGUCGUGGAUCUGAUUAGCUGGAAGUUCCUCGAGCCACCGACGGGCGGUAUCGGAGAGAAAAAGCGGUAGUUGUCUGAUGAUAGCUCGAUCGUCUCCUCGAGCGCCUCCCAGCUGACAAGCCAGCCUGAAGUCCGCCAGCCACAGUUCCGGUUUGGUUUCACCGUUGUAUUUCGCGAUGGUGGUUGGGGGUCGGAACGGACUGGGCAGUGGUGUGCUGCGGAUUGCCCUGCUGAACACCCGUGGGCCUGGUGGCUCGGGGGACAUUCGGUCCUCGUCGCUGUCGUACCUCCUAUUGACACUAGCUAACACCACUUAGAUACUAGGUUGUCAUCCCUAGCAUGGCGCCAGAGUGUACAAAGGUAUUUAUAAAUGUAAAGGCUCUCUAGAAAAUAAUCUAUUCUAUCCGCAAGCGCACAGGAUAAGUAUUCCAGGUAUCGUUAUUUAUACUUUUGCUCAAGGGAUCUCAAGAAGAUGGAAUUAAAUCAAGGGACAAAAUCUAUCAAGGCAUAGACUAGAGAUAAACUUGCAAGAACAUGAUUACUAAUGAGAAACUCGUCACACAGUCACAUACUUUAGCAGGGGGUAAACCAUAAAGAUAAUGAUGAUAAAGUAUAAGUUCAUGGGAUAAAGAGCACAGCGAUUAGAAAAUAGACUACUCCUCAUAUAUGUAGGUGAUGUCGGAUUAGCUAGAGAAUGGAUUCUAAGUUAUCUACUAACUACUAAGUCAAAAUAUACUCUAGUUAUCUACAAGAUCAUAUAUAGCAUAAAAGACUCUUCAUUCAUGUAUAAGGAACAUUGAUAAAGUAAAUCAGAACAUCGCAAGACUUACUCCACAAUACCGGUUCUGCCCGUCCUAUCAACGGAGGGUGGACUAUAUAAGAAUCAACGAAGCUGUCACUAUCGCGAACUACCACACGACCCGGCCAAUAGGAUACAUUUGCAGAUAAAUAACAUCUAAGCACCAUGCUCACAUGUGAUCUAUCACCUAACUCCCUCGUGUCAAGAGCUAAGCGCUUUGCAAACUUAAACAUAAACUCAUUAUCAAUUAUAACUAUAUCAAAUAUAGAACUAGAGCAAACUAAGAACAUAAUAAUUAGAGACAUAAUGCAAUUAGAACAAUAGAAUUAGAGAAAGAUAUGAAUAAUACCAAUCUUUAUUACCGAAGAUCCGAAUCCAGAGCGUAGUGCUCUACUUCUCUAAUUGCUAUCUAAUCAACCUCUAAACUUGAAGGAUUAGGGAGUAGCUAAUUCUAAUUCUCUGUGGGAGAGAAGCUCUAAACCCUAACUUUGAUGGCUACCUCUGAAUAAUGAUUCCUCCUCCUCUCCUCCAGGGGCCAGGGGGUCUGGUUUUAUAGUCCCCUCAAGUGAACGUGAGCCAUUGGAUCAAACCGACAUAGAUUGUAUGGUUUAGAUUGAUCCUUUAGGUCGGUGGAGCGUAGUCCCGAAGCAGAGUCCUGUUUGACCUCCAACCCUGGGCGGGCGCCCAAGGGGGGUGGGUGGGCGCCCAGCCCCCGAGCCCGAAUCGCCUCCCGUUCGUUCCCGUGGCUUCUGGAUCCUUCUAGAUUGAGGAAAAUUGUGCGGCAUGUAAUUAUCUCGUUGUAAACAUGACAUGUGGGCCUUCUCUCCAUAUUUUCUGAUAGACCCCUGCAGAAAUAGAUAAACACCAAAACUCGUGGAAUUCUGUCAGAUAAAACCCUAAUUCUAGAUGUUUGUUUCAUAUUGAUCCUUUUUCAUGUUUAUUUGAUUAUUAAUUUUAGUACUUAAGGACCGUCAACAAACUCCCCCAAGCUUACCCUUUGCUCGUCCCUGAGCAAACAGCUAAACUCAGACGGAUCAUGAGUUGCUUCGAUGUUUUCUUUCCUGACAGGCACACAUGCUUUUACAUAAAAUUCUUCCAGAUUAAAGUGAAGUGUUUUGGAGUUUAGUACCUGCACUUAAAUCUUAAGUAAUCAAAAGACAAAAUAGUUAAGUCAAGCACUAUCCCUCCUGUCUAUACUUCACCUUUGUUCCAGAGUUUUUCAUAAGUUUUCAAAAUAAAACUCAGAGUUCCCAGCAAUGAUUCUCUCAAGUCUCUCUAUAUGUGGUAUUUGUGGAUCCUUACCAUAAUGUCACUUACCUAUAGCUAAUGGAAUAUUUAAGUGGAGCUCAUAGGAGUGAAAACAGCUCAUACAUAUGUUGUCUAAUCGAGCCAUGGAUCCAAAGAAACUCAGCAUAUAAUUAAAUCAAGAUGUGCAUGUGUGAUGGAGUAAAUGAUAGUGAUUGUGAUAAUGCAUAAGUGAUAAUAAAACUUAGUUCUCAUUGCUCCUCAUAUUGCUAUCUCUCCUCCUCUUUGAUCUUUGCUUUGGGAGAACAUGGGCUAUCUUUUUAUUUUCUCUUUUUUUUUCAGGUGGGUAGUAGAUACCCCUAAUUCUACUGUCGGACACUUGUCCAUUUUUUCCGCUCAAGUGGGUAUCUUUGUACCCCUAAUUCUACUUCGGACACUUGUCCAUUUUUACCUCUCGUCUCACUCUUUUUCUUUCUUUUUCGAGGUUCCUGGCACUUGCCCCUUUUUAUUUCCUCGUAUAUUUUUACAUAACCCAUGCCUCUUCUGCAUUGAAUCUUUUUAGAGAGAGAGAAUAACAAUAUUCGGGACAGUGAGUGAUAAUAUUUUUAGCAAUUUUAAUGAUUGAUGAUGAAUGCUGUGGUAGAUGUGUGCAAGUGAAUAUCUUAAUUUAACCACAUGAAAAGCUCCUAAGGGUCUACACAGCUCGAUCAAACUCAAUGUAAAUAUAGUAAAAGAUGUUAUAGCAAGUAUGGCUGUGGUAGGUGGUUUGGUGUGCUAGGAACUCAUCAUGUGAUUUGUAAGUUUUCAAAAUAAAUCUCCAGAACUUAGUGUAGUAGGAACAAGAUAAACAGUUGCUCAACUUUAUAUCAUGCCUUUCUCUUACCUAGACUUUAGUUUUAUGCUUCCCAAAGAUAGUAAUUUAAAUUUUAGUAAUUCCUGGAAGAAUUCUAAUAUAAAAGCUAGGUACUCGUAAGUAAGCAACAGAGCAACUAUUCAUCAUUUCCAUCAUGCAUCUUUUUGGUCUUUUUAUUUUUUCUAGAUAUUAAACUUAGC
rnacentral:lncRNA from 1 species